ACGAUGAUCCCGACUUGCUGGGGGAUUCCUGGCGAACGGGAAGAGUAACACGUGAGUAACCUGCCCUUGACUCUGGGAUAAGCCUGGCCAAACUGGGUCUAAUACCGGAUAUGACUCCUCAUCGCAUGGUGGGGGGUGGAAAGCUUUUGUGGUUUUGGAUGGACUCGCGGCCUAUCAGCUUGUUGGUGGGGUAAUGGCCUACCAAGGCGACGACGGGUAGCCGGCCUGAGAGGGUGACCGGCCACACUGGGACUGAGACACGGCCCAGACUCCUACGGGAGGCAGCAGUGGGGAAUAUUGCACAAUGGGCGCAAGCCUGAUGCAGCGACGCCGCGUGAGGGAUGACGGCCUUCGGGUUGUAAACCUCUUUCAGUAGGGAAGAAGCGUAAGUGACGGUACCUGCAGAAGAAGCGCCGGCUAACUACGUGCCAGCAGCCGCGGUAAUACGUAGGGCGCAAGCGUUAUCCGGAAUUAUUGGGCGUAAAGAGCUCGUAAGCGGUUUGUCGCGUCUGCUGUGAAAGACCGGGGCUCAACUCCGGUUCUGCAGUGGGUACGGGCAGACUAGAGUGCAGUAGGGGAGACUGGAAUUCCUGGUGUAGCGGUGAAAUGCGCAGAUAUCAGGAGGAACACCGAUGGCGAAGCAGGUCUCUGGGCUGUAACUGACGCUGAAGAACGAAAGCAUGGGGGAGCGAACAGGAUUA
rnacentral:rRNA from 1 species